GGGGGGGGGGGGGGGGGGGGGGGGGGCGGGGGGGGCGGGGGGCCGGGCGGGGAGGGGGGGGCUCUGAGGGUGGCGGCGGGCGGGUGGGUAACGCGUGGAGCACCCACCUAUGAUACUGGGAUACCUUCGUGAGACCGGAGCUAAUACCGGAUCAUACUUUCAACCGCAUGUUUCAGCAGUUCAACACGGUCUUGCUGUCACUUUUAGAUGGAUCCGCGCUGCAUUAGCUGGUUGGUAAGGUAACGGCUUACCAAGGCAACGAUGCAUAGCCGACCUGAGAGGGUGAUCGGCCAAACUGGAACUGGGAAACGGGCCAGACUCCUACGGGAGGCAGCAGUAGGGAAUCUUCCGCAAAGGGCGAAAGCCUGACGGAGCAAAGACGCGUGAGUGAUGAAGGUCUUCGGAUUGUAAAACUCUGUUAUUAGGGAAGAACAUAUGUGUAAGAAACUGUGCACAUCUUGACGGUACCAAAUCAGAAAGCCACGGCUAACUACGUG
rnacentral:rRNA from 1 species